AUCUUUUUAGUAUAUAAAUAUAAUUAACUUCCAAUUAAUAGAUCUCUAAAAAGAGAAAAGAUA
rnacentral:tRNA from 1 species